rnacentral:rRNA from 1 species
UACGUAGGAGGCAAGCGUUGUCCGGAAUUACUGGGCGUAAAGCGCGUGUAGGUGGUGGGACAAGUCUGCUGUGAAAGCGCCUGGCUUAACCGGGCGAGGUCCGCGGAAACUGUUCGACUUGAGGACGGUAGAGGGGGGUGGAAUUCCCGGUGUAGUGGUGAAAUGCGUAGAGAUCGGGAGGAACACCUGUGGCGAAGGCGGCCCCCUGGGCCGGCCCUGACACUGAGACGCGAAGGCGUGGGGAGCGAACGGG